ACCGGAUGUGCCUGUCUGGUCGCAUGGCUGGGCGGGGAAAGAUGUUUUUCGGCGGGGGAUGGGGCUCGCGGCCUAUCAGCUUGUUGGUGGGGUGACGGCCUACCAAGGCGUCGACGGGUAGCCGGCCUGAGAGGGUGGUCGGCCACACUAGGACUGAGAUACGGCCCAGACUCCUACGGGAGGCAGCAGUGGGGGAUAUUGCACAAUGGGCGCAAGCCUGAUGCAGCGACGCCGCGUGGGGGAUGGAGGCUUUCGGGUUGUAAACCCCUUUCGGCGCGGGACAAGGCUCCGUAUGGCAGGGUUGAGGGUACGCGUCAAAGAAGCGCCGGGUAACUACGUGCCAGCAGCCGCGGUAAGUCGCCGCGCCAACAAGUUGUCAGGAAUUGAUCCCAUUAAAGGCCGAAAAACAUCUUUCCCCGCCCAGCCAUGCGACCAGACAGUCACAUCCGGUAUUAGACCCGGUUUCCAAAGCUUAUCCUGAAGCAGAGGGGCAGGUUACCCGCGUAUUACUCACCCGUUCGCCACUAAUCCACACCACCAAAAAGACAGCGCUUCAUCGUUCGACUUGCAUGUGUUAAGCACGCCGCCAGCGUUCGUC
rnacentral:rRNA from 1 species